GACGAACGCUGGCGGCGUGCCUAAUACAUGCAAGUCGUGCGGACCUUGUUGGAAGCUUGCUUUUAAAAGGUUCGCGGCGGACGGGUGAGUAACACGUGGGCAACCUGCCUGUAAGACUGGGAUAACGCCGGGAAACCGGGGCUAAUACCAGAUCGUUUUUUCCUCCGCAUGGAGGAAAAAGGAAAGGCGGCUUCGGCUGCCACUUACAGAUGGGCCCGCGGCGCAUUAGCUAGUUGGCGGGGUAAUGGCCCACCAAGGCAACGAUGCGUAGCCGACCUGAGAGGGUGAUCGGCCACAUUGGGACUGAGACACGGCCCAAACUCCUACGGGAGGCAGCAGUAGGGAAUCUUCCGCAAUGGACGAAAGUCUGACGGAGCAACGCCGCGUGAGUGAAGAAGGCCUUCGGGUCGUAAAACUCUGUUGCCGGGGAAGAACAAGUGCCGUUCGAACAGGGCGGCGCCUUGACGGUACCCGGCCAGAAAGCCACGGCUAACUACGUG
rnacentral:rRNA from 1 species